AGCUCAUAUCCAUAUAGCUCAGUUGGUAGAGCAUUGGGCUUUUAACCUAAUGGUCGCAGGUUCAAGUCCUGCUAUACCCA